rnacentral:rRNA from 1 species
UACGUAGGUGGCGAGCGUUGUCCGGAAUUACUGGGUGUAAAGCGCGUGUAGGCGGGUGGCCAAGUCUGCUGUGAAAUCGCCCGGCUCAACUGGGCGGGGUCGGUGGAAACUGGUCACCUGGAGGACGGUAGAGGCGAGUGGAAUUCCGGGUGUAGCGGUGGAAUGCGUAGAGAUCCGGAAGAACACCGGUGGCGAAGGCGGCCUGCUGGGCAGUAGCUGACGCUGAUGCGCGACAGCGUGGGGAGCAAACAGG